AUGCCCAUAUGCCAUUCGGGCAAGGCCAACGAAAUUGCAUUGAAUGUUACAAUCAAACGAAGUACGGCGUCAAUGUUGUCGAUGGCGAGGAGGUACUCGGUCAAAGCUAGCUCUCGAAGGUGGCCCAUGCACAACUUUUACAACAUGCUGGACUUAGCUGGGAUCAAUUCCCUAUUGUACAAGAAGUGUACCUCCGCGAAAAUAACUAGAAGAAACUACCUAAGAGAACUUGGAGAAGAACUUAUCAUGGUUCAACAAAGAACCCGAAAUUUUUCAAAUGAUGUAGUUGACGGUCCAGAACAGGAAACGACUAGACGUCAUUGUCAACUACUGAAGUCAAUCGGCACCGCCGUUAUAUACAUCGGCCUAUUCCUGGCCGUGAUAACGUUCAUACCCAGUUUACCGCUGGAAUACAAGGAGUACAGCGCACCGACACCGCGCAAACUCGUUUUGAAGAAUCGGCUGAAUGAUGCCCAAAAGCUGUUUAAGGGUGAGGUCCAUGGCCCGGAAGACUUCGAGUCUUAUAACGGGCAGCUGUACAUAGGCAUGCACGGCGGUUAUAUCCUAAGGGUCGAGGAGAAUCGGUUGACACCAAUCGUCAAAUUUGGCAAAAAAUGCGAUGGAAUAUGGCAAGAGCAUAUAUGUGGCAGGCCUUUAGGAUUAAGAUUCGAUAAAAAAGGUAAUCUAUAUGUAAUAGAUACCUAUUACGGUAUUUUUAAAGUAAACGUUGCAACCGGAGAGUACGAAAAUGUAGUAAACGUUUCUAAACCGAUUGAGGGUAAAGUUUCGCGACUACCCAAUAGUAUCGAUGUUGCAAAAAAUGGAGACCUGUAUUGGACCGAAAGUAACACGGAUUUUGCACUUUACGACUUAAUGUUAACAUUUCUGUCAAAUCCAUCAGAAAGACUUGUUCCUCCAUUAUAACUCAGUGACAAAGCAAACAAAAGUACUGAUGAGAAGCCUAGCAUUUGCAAAUGGAGUUAUGUUAACACUAGAAGAACCGAGAAUUUGUUACCCCCUAUAA